CCCCUAGAUGUUCUGGGCCGCACGCGCGCUACACUGAACAGUUCAACAAGUCUUAACCUUGGCCGAUAGGUCUGGGUAAUCUUUGAACGCUGUUCGUGAUUGGGAUAGACCUUUGCAAUUAUGGGUCUUCAACGAGGAAUUCCUAGUAAACGCAAGUCAUCAGCUUGCAUUGAUUACGUCCCUGCCCUUUGUACACACCGCCCGUCGCACCUACCGAUUGAAUGGUCCGGUGAAAUCUCGGGACGGCGGCUUGGUCGCUGCGUCCGACUGCUGAAACUUGAUUAAACCAUAUCAUUUAGAGGAAGGUGAAGUCGUAACA
rnacentral:rRNA from 1 species